rnacentral:rRNA from 1 species
GAUGAACGCUGGCGGCGUGCCUAAUACAUGCAAGUCGAGCGAACAGACGAGGAGCUUGCUCCUCUGACGUUAGCGGCGGACGGGUGAGUAACACGUGGAUAGCCUACCUAUAAGACUGGGAUAACUUCGGGAAACCGGAGCUAAUACCGGAUAAUAUAUUGAACCGCAUGGUUCAAUAGUGAAAGACGGUUUUGCUGUCACUUAUAGAUGGAUCCGCGCCGCAUUAGCUAGUUGGUAAGGUAACGGCUUACCAAGGCAACGAUGCGUAGCCGACCUGAGAGGGUGAUCGGCCACACUGGAACUGAGACACGGUCCAGACUCCUACGGGAGGCAGCAGUAGGGAAUCUUCCGCAAUGGGCGAAAGCCUGACGGAGCAACGCCGCGUGAAUGAUGAAGGUCUUCGGAUCGUAAAACUCUGUUAUUAGGGAAGAACAAAUGUGUAAGUAACUAUGCACGUCUUGACGGUACCUAAUCAGAAAGCCACGGCUAACUACGUG